rnacentral:rRNA from 1 species
GUGGGGAAUAUUGGGCAAUGGGCGCAAGCCUGACCCAGCAACGCCGCGUGAGGGAAGAAGGCUUUCGGGUUGUAAACCUCUGUCCUUGGUGACGAAACAAAUGACGGUAGCCAAGGAGGAAGCCCCGGCUAACUACGUGCCAGCAGCCGCGGUAAUACGUAGGGGGCGAGCGUUGUCCGGAAUUACUGGGCGUAAAGGGUGCGUAGGUGGCCUUUUAAGUUGGAUGUGAAAUACCCGGGCUUAACUUGGGGGGUGCAUCUAAUACUGGGAGGCUAGAGUGCAGGAGAGGGAAGCGGAAUUCCUAGUGUAGCGGUGAAAUGCGUAGAUAUUAGGAGGAACACCAGUGGCGAAGGCGGCUUUCUGGACUGUAACUGACACUGAGGCACGAAAGCGUGGGGAGCAAACAGGAUUAGAAACCCUUGUAGUCC